UUUAGGAGAUCAACAAUAUACUUUGUGAUGUUUCUGGAUGGGUUUUCAGUUAUUGCAGCCAAAAUUAGGCCUCUUUUGGUCUUUGGUCCUGAUGUAACACAUACACAUCUGACAUCUCUGAAAUGGAUGAAUGGGAAAGCCAGGUGCCCAGGACUCUGAAUUGAAUUAACAACCUGGACAAAGGCAAUUUAUUUGAAAAGGACAAAGAGAGCUUGUGUGCCUCACUUGUAACAAAUUUUGGAAGCCUUCCUCUAUCAACAGAAAUCUCCAGCAACACUUCAGUGGGAAAAUUCACAUUUAUCUGGGUGGAAAAGGGAAUACUGGAGUGCAACGGAAGCACUCAAAUCCAUGGCAUUUGAUGGCAGAACCAAUCUGUUCAAGGAGCUUUGUUACUUUGUUACUGGUCAAGGCAUUGUCUAGCCGCCAGCAAAAAUCACAGGAUGAGACAUGGAGAAUGCAAAGUUCACAAUGAAGAAUGGAGAGAAAAUGGAAGGACACCAAGAAGGAAAAAAACAUAGAAUGACAGUGACACACUGAGUCAGAGAAAUAAAAAUGGACUUCAGGCAAACUACAAGCCUACUACUGCAGCAGUACAGUUGUAGGAAGAAGAGCACACACUGUGCCAUUGAUUCAGUAGGAGGAGAACUUCUUUUCUGUCACCUGUACUGCCGCUACCAUGAAGACUAAAGGAAACGUUCUUUAUAGACUGGUGCACAGAGGAAGAAGAUAUCAUGUGAAAUUAAAAUCAAAAUGCUAAAAGAAAUUAAAUAGUAGGUAAUAAUGAAAUUGCAGGUACAUGCACACUAUUUUCCAAGUUGUGUAAG
rnacentral:lncRNA from 7 species